UACAUGUGGGGCAAGCGUUGUUCGGAAUUACUGGGCAUAAAGGGCGCGUAGGCGGGCGACCAAGUCAGGGGUGAAAUCCUCCGGCUCAACCGGAGAACAGCCUUUGAUACUGGUCACCUCGAGGGAGGUAGGGGCAUGUGGAACUUCCGGUGGAGCGGUGAAAUGCGUAGAUAUCGGAAGGAACGCCGGUGGCGAAAGCGACGUGCUGGACCUCUUCUGACGCUGAGGCGCGAAAGCUAGGGGAGCAAACGGG
rnacentral:rRNA from 1 species